AACGAACGCUGGCGGUAUGCUUAACACAUGCAAGUCGAACGGGUGUAGCAAUACAUCAGUGGCAAACGGGUGAGUAAUACAGAGGAAUCUACCUAGCAGUAAGGAAUAACUUUGGGAAACCAAAGCUAAUGCCAUAGAUUACCCUUCGGGGGAAAGAUUUAUCGCUGUUAGAUGAGACUCUGCCGGAUUAGCUAGUUGGUAGGGUAAUGGCCUACCAAGGCGAUGAUCCGUAGCUGGUCUGAGAGGAUGAUCAGCCACACCGGAACUGAGACACGGUCCAGACUCCUACGGGAGGCAGCAGUGGGGAAUAUUGGACAAUGGGCGCAAGCCUGAUCCAUCAAUACCGCGUGAGUGAUGAAGGUCUUCGGAUUGUAAAGCUCUUUUAGUGGAGAAGAUAAUGACGGUAUCCACAGAAAAAGCACCGGCAAACUUCGUGCCAGCCGCCGCGGUAAAAC
rnacentral:rRNA from 1 species